CAUUUUCGCGUCUGCUUCAUUACCACGUUGCUGUUACUGCUGCUAUUCCACAAUGGUAAUCCGCUGUAUUAUUCAGGACACCCAGGUAAAGGAAACUACCCACGGUUGGGUAAACGGUACAAAACUUCACUGCACAAAUUCCUACCUUUGCACUCAAACCAUCAAGUUAUACAAUACAGUAAUAAUCUUGUCCGGAGAAUUUACAAGAUUUUAGACAAUUUGAACUCUGACCUGGAGGUUUAAGCAAACAAACUUGACAAUCACAUUCAUAAAUUAUUCACCACAAAAACGGAGAGGUCUGAAUCGACGGAGAAUGUCUCGUUGAAAUAAAGCUGUUCUUAUAUUUCCUUGA